CACUGCCGAGAAAAGCCUCUAGAUAGAAAAUAGGUGCCCGUACCGCAAACCGACACAGGUAGUCAAGAUGAGAAUUCUAAGGUGAGCGAGCGAACUCUCGUUAAGGAACUCGGCAAAAUGACCCCGUAACUUCGGGAGAAGGGGUGCUCUUUAGGGUUAACGCCCAGAAGAGCCGCAGUGAAUAGGCCCAAGCGACUGUUUAUCAAAAACACAGGUCUCUGCUAAACCGUAAGGUGAUGUAUAGGGGCUGACGCCUGCCCGGUGCUGGAAGGUUAAGAGGAGUGGUUAGCUUCUGCGAAGCUACGAAUCGAAGCCCCAGUAAACGGCGGCCGUAACUAUAACGGUCCUAAGGUAGCGAAAUUCCUUGUCGGGUAAGUUCCGACCCGCACGAAAGGCGUAACGAUUUGGGCACUGUCUCAAC
rnacentral:rRNA from 1 species